rnacentral:rRNA from 1 species
GACGAACGCUGGCGGCGUGCUUAACACAUGCAAGUCGAACGAGAUUCAUCCAGUAGCAAUACUGGAGAAGAUCUAGUGGCGAACGGGUGCGUAACACGUGAGGAACUUGUCCCGGUCUCUGGGAUAACAGUUGGAAACGACUGCUAAUACCGGAUGACGUCGGAGCGUCGCAUGGCGCGCUGACGAAAGGGUUACUGGAUCGGGAGAGCCUCGCGGCCAUCAGCUUGUUGGUGGGGUAACGGCCUACCAAGGCAUCGACGGGUAGCUGGUCUGAGAGGAUGAUCAGCCACACUGGGACUGAGACACGGCCCAGACUCCUACGGGAGGCAGCAGUGGGGAAUCUUGCACAAUGGGCGAAAGCCUGAUGCAGCAACGCCGCGUGCGGG